rnacentral:rRNA from 1 species
AACGAACGCUGGCGGCAUGCCUAACACAUGCAAGUCGAACGAGACCUUCGGGUCUAGUGGCGCACGGGUGCGUAACGCGUGGGAACCUGCCCUUAGGUUCGGAAUAACUCCCCGAAAGGGGUGCUAAUACCGGAUAAUGUCUUCGGACCAAAGAUUUAUCGCCUUUGGAUGGGCCCGCGUUGGAUUAGCUAGUUGGUAGGGUAAAAGCCUACCAAGGCGACGAUCCAUAGCUGGUCUGAGAGGAUGAUCAGCCACACUGGGACUGAGACACGGGCCAGACUCCUACGGGAGGAAGCAGUUGGGAAUAUUGGACAAUGGGGGAAAGCCUGAUCCAGCAAUGCCGCGUGAGUGAUGAAGGCCUUAGGGUUGUAAAGCUCUUUUACCCGGGAUGAUAAUGACAGUACCGGGAGAAUAAGCUCCGGCUAACUCCGUG